GGAAAGGGUAUCGACCAUUCUUCAAGAAUUGCUCAUUUGAGUCUAUGUUAACACUGAAGAGUGGAGAUCGUGAGUCAUUGAGUGAUAGAGGUCAUUGAUUCUGUCUCAAAUAGAGAAGCUGCAAAGGAACGUCUACUCACUAUGUAGUGUACCACAGGUAGUCUGUCCGAUCCCAUGUCAUGCUUAUCUGCUCCACCAAUCCAUCUUUUGAGAAUGAUUUAUCCCUCAGUGAGUGGGUAUCCUCACUGAAGGACUCCCAAGAAAAUCCGCCAACCCAAGUCAUAUUAAUCUGCGACGUCGGAGCUCCUACCUGUGUUUAUCAUUAGCAUCUUUGUGUUUAAGACAGUCAUGAAAAUUCAACCAUGGAAGUCCUAUUCCAUCCAAGAAAAUUUGGAAUACAUAGCGAGAGAUACAUUUUCCUGAGCCAAGAAACAAACAACUCAACGGAGAGGUGAGUUUUAUGAGUAUAGGAAUAGAAUGCAACCGUGACCAUUAAUCAUCAAAGAUUUCUCACCUUUGCAGUGUUGAACACUGCGGUUUUGCAGUCUGGAAGAAUGCUGACGGACCAAGCUGGAAUAUGAUACUUCAUUCCGUUGAAAGUAACAGGUGCAUAAGAACGGGAGUUGAAAUUAGAAAGGAAUGCAGCACAAGCGCCUGACUUCGAUCUGUAUACAUGCGCCUGCAAGAAGUCGAACGUAGAAAAGUUCCAAAAUGCCAAAUCAUCGAAAAUAUUCUUGCAAAUUUUACAGCAAGAUAUAAGAAUUGAACCUCCUGAUAUUUUCCGAGAUUUGUCACUGUGGGAUCCCCAGAGACGAGAGCUGGUUCACACGAUUUGAUUGCUUUAUGCAGGUCUGUCAGAUGUCCCCAUUUCGGUUGCCUUAACAGACCUGAGAAAGAUUACAAUAUGUUUAUCACCAGAUAGAGGGAAUGGUAAUAGUCGGCAUCAAAUAGAUUUGUAUUGCAUCAUCAGAUGCUUGACCAAUGAGACUGCACAGUGUCUUCUUCGUAGAAGAGGAACAAGAUUUUAGCACCAAAAAGAAGACAUAGGAAAAGCAUAAGCAAACUGAGUGGGAACUGUAUUACCUCUAAUCUUCUCUUAAUCUUGAAAGAACCCAAGUAUUUGACCUAAAUAAUUCUUUGUGUGUGGUAGAUGAUCAAGCCAACCAUUCAUGCCCUUUUCCCCCACCCACGGACAAACUUCUAAACAAGAUGUUUGAUAUAAUGUUUAUGUAUGUUUGUAUCUUUUGACAUGUUCGCACAACAUAUAGAGGGACGAUCGAAUACUUAAUUACCCCAUUUCAGUUAGGUUUGGUGGUCGCUUUUGGCUUAUAAAUAAAAAUUAUAUUAUGUGGACACUUGCGAGAGAUAUUCGAUCUGUAUUGGACCAUUUUGACCCUUUGUUGUGCAACCAUUCAGAACUUGUAAAGUCAUGUUGAUAAUUUGCAUUGGUUAUGAGGUGUUUUUUGGAAUGUUUGUUUAUGGAUUCCGAGUGAGGCAUUUUCUCUAACUCGUUUUCUCUUUUGUAGGUCCUAAGAGACCAUGGGAGGUUUCGGAAAGACUGACCUUUACGGACGGACACACAAGGGUAUUGCACAACUUUGGCAAAGCCAACUAACCUCAUUUUAGUUAGGUUUGGUGGCCGUUUUAGGCUUAUAAAUAAAAAUUGUAUUAUGUGGACACUUGCGAGAGAUAUUCGGUCUGUAUUGGAUCAUUUUGACUCUUUGUUGUGCAACCGUUCAAAACUUGUAAAGUCUGUUGAUAAUUUGCAUUGGCUAUGAGGUGUUUUUUGGAAUGUUUGCUGAUGGAUUCUGAGUGAGGCGUUUUCUCUAACCCAUUUUCUCUUUUGUAGGUCUUAAGAGACCAUGAGAGGUUUUGGAGAGGCUGACUUUUGCGAACGGAUAUGCAAGAGUACCGCACGACUUAAACAAAACCAACUAAAUCCAUCAUCAAAAGCAUGACCUCCAACGGGGCGAAUUCAUAAGAAGUCACAAGUUAGACCAAAACCAUAUCAUUACAACGUGAAAAUUAUUACAAAUGUUAGAAAAAUGGCAUACCGUAUUCAUCGAUUGGGGCAUCAUAGUCAUAGCUGGUCGCAAUAAAAGGACCACCAGCCGUCCUACCGAAGUUGGUUCCUCCAUGGUACUGCAGUUGACGUAAACAUGCAAAUUCGUUUACUUCAACAUGAUGGACAGCAAUCAGUAAUUACUGAAACAACUGAGGUAGAACAUACAAUUUCUUACCAUAUAGUAGUUAACGAAGGAACCACCUUUCGCUAUAAACCUUGCGACAGCAAAAGCCAUGUCCUGAACAGGCCGGUGAGGAACUGGACCCCCGAAACCAGUGAACCUAUUAACAUAGAAUACAUAGAAUAAAUUCACUGGAUAGAUUAAUUUCUUGUGAAAAUUUAUAUGAAUUCAAAUGUGAAGAAGUAGCGGUUACCAGCCAGUCCAAGCUUCAGUCCACAUGGUCGGUUUAUAAGGCUUGUUUGGUGAGAAGUAAUCGCAGUAGAACCCAUUGCAGGCAUUGAUCUUUAAAGACAAAAGCCCAAAAAAAGAGAUCACAAUAAGUCACCCAAGCUGGUCUAACAUGCAACUACAAACCCUCUAAUUAGGGCAGCUGGAAUUUAAGUAGAUAAAAGUCAUGUUGGACUUGACAAGGUAGAGAAGGAACAUGAACUUGGGGUUCUUCCUGAUGUGGUAGAACAAGAAAACCGAAAGCUUGGACUUACCACUGGAUCAGGUGCAUCAUCUUGCUUGCACAUGACCCACGGCACACCGGUGUUGAGACCCACUGCCAUUUGAGCAGCCCAGCUUAGGUAGUUCUUGGCUGCAGCGCCGUCAUAGUACUCCUGUAUACUAUAUUCGUUUUCAAUCUGCUCAAGUUAGACAAAGAGCAUGGAAGAACAGAAAGCGAAUUAGAUGAGAUCUUUGGGAGCUGAUCAACUCGAUGACACAUAAAAGCUAACGAAUUGAUGAAAGCAAAGAAGGAAUGGAUUCGAUGAUACCUGAGAGAGGAUAAUGGGACCACCCUGUGAUUCAAAUAAUCCUUCAGACUUCAUCAUGGCGACAAUCUUCUCUGUGAACUUCGCCAUGGCCGCCUUUUACAUGAAUAGACCAAUUAGCAAUUGCUCGGUUAGAGGAGAUCGAGUAUAAACAUGUAAAGAGAAGUUCCUGUGGAUUCUUACCUUGAAAGGUCCAUUGUCGCUCCUGAAAGUGAUGCCAGGAACAUAUUUUAACCAGACAGGAAAUCCCCUGUUUUACAAAGACAAGAUGAACAACAGAACAGCAUCAUCAGAUUGCAUGAUUAGGCUUUUGAUUCCACAUAGAAGAAUUAAUUGAAGACCUCGACCUCGUACCCAAAGUUCCAUUCGGCACAAACAUAAGGACCAAUCCGGAGAUGAACAUAGAGGCCGGCCUGCUUCACCAGCUUGAUGAAGCGAACCAGGUCGUAAUUACCACCAAAAUAAUACUGCCAAAGAUCAAGAAAAGCAACAAAUUGAGGCACACUAUGGGAAGGAGCAGUAGCCUUAGACGAGAGGGCUGGGAAAGGUUGGGUGAUCUCCGAACCUGGCCAGGGGACGGCUCGUGGCCGUUCCAGAACACAUAGGUCUGGAUAACAUCCAAGCCGCCAUCUUUAGCCUUCUGGAUGAGAUCCGGCCACAUCUGGAGACGAUCCAAUCGACAAAGUUCAGGUUUUGACGCGGUAGAAUAACAGUGCACGAACAGCUCACCAAAAAGGCCACAUUUCCCACAGAAUUGGAGACCUUACCUCCGGGGUGCUCCUGGGAUAGUGAAUGGAACCGGAGAUUAGAAUCCUCCUCUGCCCAUUGACGAUGAUAGCCUUGUGGUCGUAGGAAACGGAGGCAUCGACCGGAGAGGAAUGCCACGGAGACGACACCACCACCAACGCCACCGCCAGUAGCAGCAGCGUCGACAGUCCGCGGCCGCACCCAAGCGUUAUAAGCUCGAGGCUCAUGGUGGCCGGUCGGUCUUACCUUCAGAGGAGUCUCCUUUAGUGUUCUGGAUGUAUAAUAUGUGAAUGAUGGAGAUUCGUGCGCGCUGUUCUUCCGUCUUCUCCUCCGCUAGAGAAGUUCCGACGGAACUAUUGAGCAGUAGCGUUACUGCAACAAGCACACACCGAGGAAGAGAGAGGGAGAUCAAAGAGGAGGGAGGGAAGAGGGCGGACGUGGAGUGGGAGCGCGGGGGCGGGGAGGACGGGGGAGGGCGAUGUGCCUCUUGCGGUAUAAAUACCCGACGGGCGCAAGCGAGCACAGGAUUGGCGCUGGAAUACGCGGGUCCCAAAGCGCCAGCCACGUCAACGUUUUCUUCCAUUCCCCCUGAACAGGAAAAAAUCAAAUGGACCGAAGCGUGGGGCCAUCUGCUUGUAAGAAAGUGGACCAAUUAAGAUAAAGCUUUGAUAGUUGGCAAGGAUCGACAGAGUCAAAAUAUUUUGUUAAAAUUAUUAUUUGAGAAAAUUAGGACAGAUAGGUUAUGUGGAAUAAUAUUAGAAACUAAUAAUAUUAGUUUAGUUUUGUAAGAAAAUUUUAUGUUGAUGAUAUUUUUUAGUUGUCUAAUAUAUCGAUAUACAUUAUGAUAGUAAGCGAGUUAGAUAACAUAUCCAUAACCAUGAUAUAAAUAUUUUUUUAUAAAAUUACAUAUACAUGAUAUACCUAAAGGGUUUGAUGAGAUAUAUCAUAUUAUUAUUUUAUUAUGUGAAUAACAAUUUUUUUAUAUGUUAAUUUAGUUUCACAUAAGAAAUGUAUAAAGAUUUAGAUAAGAGUAUGAUAAUUGUACCAUUCUUAUCGUGAGUUUAGAGGGAUUUAACUCAAAGUAUCUCUCUCAGACGAAGAUUAUAUAUGUGGCAGAUAAGGCUAAGCCAGAUAGGAGAGAAAGGUAUGUUUUUAAAUAAAUAAAGCUUUUUAAGCAAUGGAAUAUUGUCAAAAUUAAAAUAAUAUGAAUACUAUAUUUUUGAAAAGCAAAUAAAGUUUCUUGAGUUGUAAUGAUAUCCAUUUUAAGCAAAUAUAAUUGCUGCAUUAUAUUUUUAAUGUCGAUGCCAAUAUUUAUAGUCACUGAUUAAAACAUGCCACAUAUAAUAUUUUCUUUCAAUACCAGAAAGAUAUUUAUAGUAUGAAUGAAAGGAUAAAUUUAGCUGAAUAUGGAACAUGAUGAACCAUAUCAUAACCAAUCCUCAAUUGAACUAAAACUUAAUCCUUACAGAAAUAGUUUGUAAUCAUCCUAAACUGGUCUAAAUAGAUUUCUAUUUUAGAUUAAACUGGCCUAGACAGUGCCUGACCCAGUCUGAUCCUUGAUAAGUGGUCAAGCCAAGCUACUGAAAUGUUGACCUCUGUGUUUGUAACUCAUGAUGAAAUUCUAAGUGACAUUAACAGUUUCUUCUUUAUAGUUGAUAAAUCAUUGUCAUCUCUUUCUAAAAAUAAAAAUAAAAAAAGCUGGGAAUAAAAAUAUCUAUAACAAUGCCUUUUUCCUGGCACCAGAUUGUAUCUUUACCACUAAUUUCUUGUUUCUUGCACUGUUGCACAUGAUCAUCAUGCAUCUUGUUAGACAUCUCAAGUGGUUGCCACAUAGUUCAGAGCUCAGAAGCACAGCCACACAAUUGCAUCAGGAAUCAAAAUGCUUAUAAGCUUUGCAGAAGCAAUGGAAAAGGCAAAGGAUGAUAACUUAAUAUGGAUCAAAAUGCUUAUAAGCUUAAGUAGUACAGAAGCAAAAGCUUAGCUCUUGCAAUUACAAGACCGACCAACCAUUUUGUGUAAACAUGCUAUCCCAAUUGCUAAUAUUAUGUCCACACAUGGACUCAAUAUAUGCAGAAUCCCACGUGCAGUAAGUAAUAUGUUGAGUGCAUCCAAUAUUUUCUAUGCACAUUUACUCACGUAACCAGGCAAUACCUUAAAGUGGGUGUGCAGUUCCUGCAUCUCCACCAAUCACUACUCCACGACUUUGGUUUGUAUAAAUUGACUUUAGUUCAUUUUCUUUACUUGGUCUACCAUCUGUGGUUAUCAUCUGCAGAUGGUUUUGACAGCAAGCUUCUUCAUAGUGCUACUCUUUUCACCAUUGAAAUCCCAGUUGGAUCACCACCCCACUCUUCAAACACAACCAACAAGUUUCCAGUUGGGUUCAGCCAAGCGCGAGGAACAUGAUACCUGAGAUUUGAGGUCAGUAAUCAGUCAUUUAUUCGAUUUUUUCGCAAGCUUAAUGGGGUGGAAAAAAAGGCAGGUGUUUCAUUACCAUUUUUGAGAAGGCUCCCCACAAUUAGUCUGGCAUUUCUUCUCGUUGUAUGUCCCUCUGUAAUCGCACCAAUCACAAGAACCAUAUGCCUUAUAGGCAGGCCAGUAUCUGCCAAUGCUUUGUCCAUUGAUCCAUAUCUGACCUUUGCCCAUGCUACUCAUGUCUAAUGCCAAUGGCUCAUUCCCAGCUGGAGCAUUAAAGAAAGCCUGGAAGAUGAUAAAGAUUAAGUGACACAAUAGUCUCAAACAUGAGAGGAAGGAAGAUGAACUUUAGGAUAACAUGUUUCUGUGUUGCAAGCAGUACUGACCUUGUACCAAGUCAAGGGCUGCUUUGUUGAUGCACCUCCCCACUCAACUGAAGAACUGCCACUAAGUGUAUGGAUGCUCAGGGAUUCACCUCUCAGGCCGAUCUACACACACAAACAUGGAACUCAGUAACCAGUAAGCAAGUUUUAGUCAGAGACUAAUGUAGGUAGGAAGAGUUGAUUGGAACCUGGUAAAUCCAUUUCUGUGAUGAAAGGUCUCUCUUUCCUUCAUUGAGACCUUCCAGAGUCACUGGACCAAGAACACCAGCAUUCCAUGUCUCAAAGUGGUUGCCAACAUUCUGAAACAGAUCAGAGAACAGAAAUCUGAUGUCUCAACAGCCAUCUUGUGUGUAUAAUUGUACAGGGUUAUUUGUAUGAUAUUUCAACUUUUCGAUCAAUGGCCAGGAAAUAUUUCACAACAAAUUAUGUACUCACAGGAAGACCAACAGCGACACUUAGAAUCGAGAUUUUGUUGCUUCCUGCCCACAACUUCACAUUUUCUCUGAAAGUCAGCUUUGGAUUGUCCAAACUACCAGAGACAGUCCCUGCCAGAAGAAAAGAAAGCAAAAGCCAAAUCGGAACCUCACCAAAUGUUGAGCAUAUCAUCAAGAAUCAAUUCUCCACAAGGCAAAGCCACUCACCAGCCCGUUCUCCAUUGAUGAAAACAUGCAUAGAAUGGCCUGCCGACAUCACAGUCAGGAAAGGGUAUCGGCCAUUCUUCAAGAAUUGUUCAUUUGAGUCUAUGUUAACACUGAAGAGUGGAGAUUGUGAGUCAUUGAGUGAUAGAUGUCAUUGAUUCUGUCUCAAAUAGACAAGCUGCAAAGGAACGUCUACUCACUAUGAAGUGUACCACAGGUAGUCUGUCCGAUCCCUUGUCAUGCUUAUCUGCUCCACCAAUCCAUCUUUUGUGAAUGAGUUAUCCCCCAGUGAGUUGGUAUCCUCACUGAAGGACUCCCAAGAAAAUCCACCAACCCAAGUCAUUUUAAUCUGUGAUGUUGGAGCUCCUACCUGUGUAUAUCAUUAGUAACUUUGUGUUAAAGACACUGUCAUGAAAAUUCAACCAUGGAAAUCCUUUUUCAUCCGAGAAAAUUUGGAAUACAUAGUGAGUUAUACAUUUUCUUUAGCCAAGAAACAAAUAACUCAAUAGAGAGGUGAGUUUUUUUAAUACAGUAGUAGAAGCAACCAUGACCGUUAAUCAUAAAAUAUUUC
rnacentral:lncRNA from 1 species